rnacentral:lncRNA from 1 species
UGGAAGAAUCUUGGAGUUGGGAAUGUCGCACGUAAUUGAAGGAAGAACAAGAAAACUAUAGCAGCUAUUCCCAACCCCAGAACCUUUGCUGUCUUGGAACAGAUCACCACUGCAAGAGGGGAAGUUGCUACUGUGAUGAAUUCUGCCAUGUGGUACCAGACUGCUACCCAGACCACAGUGUCCUCUGCAACCCUCGUAACUCACAUACAGGCCUGAUUCCACCUACAGCAAAGCUGGAUGCUAUGGUUGGCAGAGGCAAACCCUUUGCCUGCACUUCAGGCCAAAGCCGGGAUGUGGCCUAGAUGGUUCCUAAGCUUCUCAGAUGACCAAGAUGGUGCUGCAGAUGGUGCUGAGGAUGGAGAACCCACCAAGCCCCGCUAGGAGCCACCUAGACUGGAUGUAGAGCAUGGUUCAGCGAGUUCUCCAAACCAGCCUCCCAGGAAUGCCGGUCUCCAUGGCUGUGAGGGGAAUCAAGAAGAGAGCCUGACUCCUCUCCUGAGGCCCCUUCCCCACCCUGAGCCAGCA